GACUCCAUAAUGUAGUGGUUAGCACGUCUGCUUUUCACGCAGAAGGUCCUGGGUUUACACCUAGGUGGAGCCA
rnacentral:tRNA from 1 species